rnacentral:lncRNA from 1 species
AGCCAGGGCAGAGUCGGCCUGCAGGCCCCAGCAGUGUUGGGGUCCACCUUCAGCCUUUGCAGGCCACUCUUGGAUUCCCAGACCCUGGGGACCCAGCAGAGCUCCCGAGGACACCAGUCACCAGGCCACUUGGGGACUCCAAAAUCAAAUGUGUUUAAGGCUGAGCUGAAGGCAGCCCUGGGGGGGCCUCGGUGGAGGCCUCUCACAGAAAAUGUCACAGCAGCAGGUGACUGGUGCCCACGGUGCUGUCCACCUGGGCAGCCAGAGCUUAGGCUGUCUGAAAGGCCCUGGGCAGGCCCGGUCACCUCCAUCCAGAAUGACUGAGGAUGGACAAGGAUGAAGGGCACCCUUGGUCUGCAUGCCUGGGGCCCUUGCAUGGGGCCAGGCCACUCUCAGGAGGACAGAGGAAGGUGAGAACAGCACUUUAGAUGACCUUCUCCUGGAGCAGUGUGUUCAGAGGCUCAGCGGUAAAAUUACUGAGGACGCUCGCGGCACAUCCCCAUCAGCCCUCUUCCCACAGGAAGUCCACGAUGUCUCCUCGCUACAUCAGGGAAGUGGAGAGUGUCUCUCCUUAAGUAGAUCGGGGGCAAGGCGUGGCCAGAGGGCAGGCGGCCCCUGCACGUGGAGCUGUGGGGGAGCCAUGUGCGCACACACACACACACACACACCUGGGCCCUCCUCCCAGCCAGGUGCACAGCCAGCUAGUGCAAGGCAGCAUCCCCUGGGGUGUGCAGCUGGGGACGAUGGCCCCAUUGGUCCUGCAGCUGGACAUUCUAGAGCUGUCCGGGGGCCUUGAAUCUCCAAGUCCCAAGUUCCCAGGGGUCUGGUCUAGAGAGGGCUAGUUGCCAUUCCACACAGAGGGCAGCAGGUGACUGAAGCGUCCACACCUGCCUUGGAGUCCUCUGUCCAGGGUCCAGCUGGGCACCACUGGGUGAGGAGAUGGGAUCACACACCAGGGAAGAACCGG